ACGCUAUCACUCCUACGGGAGGCAGCAGUGGGGAAUAUUGCACAAUGGGCGCAAGCCUGAUGCAGCCAUGCCGCGUGUGUGAAGAAGGCCUUCGGGUUGUAAAGCACUUUCAGUCGUGAGGAAGGUAGUGUAGUUAAUAGCUGCAUUAUUUGACGUUAGCGACAGAAGAAGCACCGGCUAACUCCGUGCCAGCAGCCGCGGUAAUACGGAGGGUGCGAGCGUUGUCCGGAUUUAUUGGGUUUAAAGGGUGCGUAGGCGGGGUCUUUAAGUCAGUGGUGAAAGCCUGCAGCUCAACUGUAGAACUGCCAUUGAUACUGGAGGCCUUGAGUGUACUAGAGGUAGGCGGAAUUUAUGGUGUAGCGGUGAAAUGCAUAGAUACCAUAAAGAACACCGAUAGCGUAGGCAGCUUACUGGAGUACAACUGACGCUGAGGCACGAAAGCAUGGGUAGCGAACAGGAUUAGAUACCCUGGUAG
rnacentral:rRNA from 1 species